GAGGGUAUUGCUCAGUGGUUAGAGUGCAUGCUUAGCAUGCACAAGGUCCUGGGUUUAAUUCCCAGUACCUCCA
rnacentral:tRNA from 1 species